UUGUCCUGGUGGCCAGGCAAGGAAUACAUCCUCCUCCCUUCCCCUACUGGACUUUGAAGGUGAAUGCUGACUACGUUGACCCUCCAAUGGAAAAGGGAGUGGGGUUGGGGGUAUAGUUGGGGAAGGGCCAGUUCAGACUUGCUGGCUGUCAGGAAGGCCUGAGAAGAUGUGGUUGGUGCCCGGUGACUUCUUGAAUGUGAAAUGUACACCAUGCUAAAUUAAUGAGGCCUUCCAACAUGAACGGAUUCCCCCACCCUGUUCUAGACCUUACCCCCAGUAACAGCUGGCUCAUCACCAACAACAGAGCCUCAAGCUGUCGCCCUGGGUAGAGUACUGUGGCAUCACAGCUCACAGCAACCUCCAACUCCUUGGCUCAAGUGAUUCUCCUGCCUCCACCUCCCAAGUAGCUGGGACUAUGGGGGCCCACCACAACGCCCAGCUAUUUUUUGUUGCCACUGAAAGAACCAGACCAGCGUCAUCUUAAGAAGUUGUUCCACCCGUGGAAACGCUGGCAACAUUCACUUCCACCCACCUACAAAGGCCUUCCACAACUAGCUGUUAACCUCAGUAGAUAUUUCCACAGGGAUAAAGGAGAAACCGGCAACACGCAAUGGGGCUAGAAGUCUCGGAUGGACUCUUCAGCUCCCGGAACCUCAGUUUUCCUCUCUGUAAAAUGGG